rnacentral:lncRNA from 1 species
GCAUGACAAACCGGAUUAAAACGGAUUAAACCGGUAGAUUAAACCGGUCUCUAUAAUAAAACUAUAUAGUUAUUAUUAAACCGAAUAAUUUGGUAUUUAAAAAAUAUCAUAUUUCAAAAAAAAUAAAUACAUAUUUCAAGACCAAAUCACAUUUCAAUAAAAUAAAAAAAUAAAAAAGUUACAAAUUACACUAACCCACAUUUCAAAAAUAUGGCCCAAGCCCAUUAUAUAACCCUAAAUAUAAAAUAGAACUAAUUGAUAUGCUAAAGUCAAAGAAUAAAAGCUACAACAUAGCAGCACAGCCGCCACAUGCUUCUCUUCUGUAUUAUCUUCUUCAAACAUGGUUAUUCUCUUCUUCAAGCUCCCUUCAUCUCUUUUUUUUCUUCUUCUUCUUUGUAUUCUCUCUCUCUUCUCAUACUUUUGAGUGUUUGGAUUUUAUUUUUUCAAAAUCAACUCAAUUCUUUGUUUUGUUGAUUAUUUUUUCAUCCUCAUGUUCUUGGGAUUCCUCUGUUUCAUCAUUUUCGAGAUUCUUCGAGUUUGAUUCAUCAAUUUUGAACAACAUUUUCUUUGUUCUAAAUUAGGUAUUGUUGUCCCCAUUUAUAUUUUGUUUUAUUUAAUUAAUAGCACUUAAUAAGAUGUUUUUCCUCUAAUGCAUGCUUCUAAUUGUUGUUAUUAAUCACCAAGAUGAAAAAUUUGAUUUAGUUUAGUUAAACAUAAUUUUACAAUCAUCUUUUGAGUGUUUGAUUUUCAUUUAAAAUAAAUUUACCCAACCAUUACAAAUCCAUUGUUUCAUUUGACUGGUGAUUGAUUUUAGUUACAAAAUCAAUUCUGUUUAAAAAUUGAUAUUUUAGAUCUGAAAUAUAAAAGAGAGUUUAUUUCAUUGUUCAACAUUUAAAAUAAUAAGACCCAAAAUUAAAGAAGGAAAAAAAAUGAAAAUAUAACAACAGAACAACUUGAAGGAAAAAAUAAAAUAAAAUUCAGCGCAAAAAAAAAAUUGGGGCUUCUCAGCGCAAAAAAAAAAAUUUAAGUAAUC